CGAUUGAAGAUCCCCUGGGAGUGUGUGAGCAUCUGAAGCAAGAGAGAGGACUUGAGAAGGCUUGAAGAGAUUGUUAGACAAGGAGGAGCAAGGUGGUGAUCAAAGGAAUCGAGUACUGGAGGUUUGGAGACACAGGAAACACGUUUCCAGGGAACCUGCGGACUAGCGGAUUGUGUGCAAGUAGCUCGAAGAGGUUAUAGCCUGCGUACUACGAGGUACUAGUGAUGACCGUGGGAAGGCGCCGGCGUGACACGUACACACUGCCACUGUUGAAGAUCCUGGAGAUUUAUUAUUUAUAUUUUGAAAUAAACUUG